CUCGGUCUCUCCAGUUAAAGUAGAGGCGGCUGACUCUCUCCACUCCUCACUUUCUUCCUCCGCCAGCCGCCUCCUCUGUAGCACGGCGCCUCCUCUACAGCACGCCGCAUCCUCUGCCGCCAUGACGUCGCCCGGCGCCCCCACCCACGCCACCACCACCACCACCACCACGGCCUCGCCCCGUCUCCUCCUAUCCCCAGCAGGGCCUCGCCCCGCCGGCCCUUAUCCCCAGCACGGCCUCGCCCCGCCCCCUCCUCUCACCACCGCGGCCUUGCCUCGCCGCCAACCCCGGGGAUCUUCCCUCGAUUGACUCUGCUGCCUUCAUCCUACUGCCCCAGAGGAGAUCGAGAUGCGGGAGCGGGCAUAUCGAAUUGGAUCGAGAUCUACUGCGUCGACGUGCCUGCCGUAGUCAUCGCCUCCCAUGCUUGGCUCAAACAGUCGCUCUGGGAAGGAGUUCGAAGCUCGCGUACGUGCUCUACAGGACCAGCCUGAUCUCUCUGUCGCCGCUGUUGUCACAAAGGCUCGCAAUCGACCAGACUAUUUGCAGAGGACACUUGAAUCUAUCCUAAAGUAUCACAAAGCGGUUGCUUCAUAGUUCCCACUAUUUAUAUCACAGGAUGGUACAAAUGGAGAAGUAAAAAAUAAGGCCUGGAGUUAUACCCAAAUAACAUUUGUGCAGGUGUGGAAAGAAACACUUGCUCUAUGCUCAUUGCCUAGUGGAUUGAAGUGGCGGUGGUAACACAGUCAGUUGGGAGGACCCAAUGGCAGAGUCGAUAUUAUUGACAUUUUCCUUGUUAGAAACGGUAGUAUCUGGUGUUCUUAAUGAAUUUGGACCAUGAAGUGGAGUCUGAUCACUCAUUAUCACAUCAACAGGUCCUGAAAGGGAGUACGUACCCCACUACGUUGAGAGGAUGCCAUAUUGUCUUCUCAAUGGUUCUUUUUGUGAAACAAUUAUUCAACCCUUCGUCAACUCAGUUUGUUCAUGAUGUACUGUCGAGAUGCUGCUGCCCACACGGGGUGAUGACACCAGAGGUAGGGCAGCGCGCCGGGUCGAGGACGUCGCGGACAGGGCGAGGGCGGCUGGCCGAGGCAAGGUUCGUGGCGUGAUGGCAGCGUUGAUGGUGGAGGUCGUGGCGUGGUGGCGGCUUUGAUCAUGGAGGUUCUGUUUAAUUCCCCGGGGGUGUCAUCACUGGGCUGUCAAAUCCUGAAGGGAGGAGUCUGCCGGCAGAACAUUUGUUUUGAACCGUAGAUCUGUUUGUAGUACGGUGGAUGUAACAUGGACCGUUGGAUGCAACCAUGUGGGUUUGAUCGGACGUUGAGGGUUAUCCUGUGUGCACUUUCUUGGGUGCACGUAGGGGAAGUCACGUUUGGUCUUUUAAUAGUAGUAUAGAUAUAGAUGACAGGAAUCGGACAAGCAUUGAUAGGGUCAAUCUUAGAACGAGUAGUAGCAACAGCAUGUUUAGUAAUAACAUGCCCAAGAUAAGUUAUAUCAUGUUGAGAAAAUUCACAUUUAGAAAGUUUAACUUUUCAGUAUUAUUGUUGUUGUGAAAUUUGGGUCUCCACAAUGCAA